GAGAAAACUUGAGGAAAGGUCUAACCUGAAAAGCAGUAUCUGGAGACCAUUUAUUCUCUUCCAGUGAGAAAGGACUCUCCCAGCUGGAAAGUCAGUUCCAUGACUUAAGACUGUCUCAAGAAGUAAUCCACGAAGUCAUGAGGACGCUCAAAUAGCUUGUGAAAUACCAGUACCACCUUGCAACCCUUGUGACUGCACCUUCUUGGAAUCAGAUCUUGCAGCUCCAAAAGAUUCUGAUGACAGCAGCCCCACGCGACCUUUUGACUGCAGCUUCGUGCUAUACCCUUGGGCAGAACCACCCAGCUCAGCAGUUCCCGAAUUUGUGACCCACACAAACAGUGAGUUUGAUAAAUGUUCAUGACUGUUUAAUUUUGCAGUUUUUGAAAUAUAAUUUACAUACAUC
rnacentral:lncRNA from 1 species